GACGAACGCUGGCGGCGUGCUUAACACAUGCAAGUCGAACGGAAAGGCCCCUUUGGGGGUACUCGAGUGGCGAACGGGUGAGUAACACGUGAGUAACCUGCCCUUGACUUCGGGAUAACUUCAGGAAACUGGGGCUAAUACCGGAUAGGAAUCCUUGCUGCAUGGUGGGGGUUGGAAAGCUUCGGCGGUUUUGGAUGGACUCGCGGCUUAUCAGCUUGUUGGUGGGGUAGUGGCUUACCAAGGCUUUGACGGGUAGCCGGCCUGAGAGGGCGACCGGCCACAUUGGGACUGAGAUACGGCCCAGACUCUUACGGGAGGCAGCAGGGGGGAAUAUUGCACAAGGGGCGGAAGCCUGAUGCAGCAACGCCGCGUGCGGGAUGACGGCCUUCGGGUUGUAAACCGCUUUCAGCAGGGGCGAAGCUUGUGGUGACGGUACCUGCAGAAGAAGCACCGGCUAACUACGUG
rnacentral:rRNA from 1 species